rnacentral:snRNA from 1 species
AGCUUUGCGCAGUGGAAGAAAUUGUCACCAGUGAGGUUUAUCUGAGGUGUGAUCAUUGCUAAUUGAAAACUUCCCAGUACCCC